rnacentral:rRNA from 1 species
AUUGAACGCUGGCGGCAUGCCUAACACAUGCAAGUCGAACGGCAGCACGGCAGUAGCAAUACUGUGGGUGGCGAGUGGCGGACGGGUGAGGAAUACGUCGGAAUCUGCCCAGUCGUGGGGGAUAACUAGCCGAAAGGUUAGCUAAUACCGCAUACGACCGAGAGGUGAAAGCGGGGGACCGCAAGGCCUCGCGCGAUUGGAUGAGCCGACGUCGGAUUAGCUAGUUGGUGGGGUAAAGGCCCACCAAGGCGACGAUCCGUAGCUGGUCUGAGAGGAUGAUCAGCCACACUGGAACUGAGACACGGUCCAGACUCCUACGGGAGGCAGCAGUGGGGAAUAUUGGACAAUGGGCGCAAGCCUGAUCCNGAAACAUGCCGCGUGUGUGAAGAAGGCC